GACGAACGCUGGCGGCAUGCCUAACACAUGCAAGUCGAACGAGAUCUUCGGGUCUAGUGGCGCACGGGUGCGUAACGCGUGGGAAUCUGCCCUUUGGUUCGGAAUAACAGUUGGAAACGACUGCUAAUACCGGAUGAUGACGAAAGUCCAAAGAUUUAUCGCCAGAGGAUGAGCCCGCGUAGGAUUAGCUAGUUGGUGUGGUAAAGGCGCACCAAGGCGACGAUCCUUAGCUGGUCUGAGAGGAUGGUCAGCCACACUGGGACUGAGACACGGCCCAGAGUCCUACGGGAGGCAGGAGUGUGGAAUAUGGGACAAGGGGCGAAAGGCUGAUCCAGCAAUGCCGCGUGAGUGAUGAAGGCCUUAGGGUUGUAAAGCUCUUUUACCCGGGAUGAUAAUGACAGUACCGGGAGAAUAAGCUCCGGCUAACUCCGUGCCAGCCGCCGCGGUAA
rnacentral:rRNA from 1 species